UAAACCAAGAGUUGGGCAUUUAACAGACUGAGCCACCCAGGCGCCCCAUUCGUGAACUGUUCUUUUGUGUACAAUAAACUCUAACUAAAUACUAUUCUACUGAUCUGGUUUUAAUUUUUACUGUCUCGGGACUUUGACAGAACUAUAAAAUAAUACACUGAUGUUGUUUAAGCUGCUGAGUUUGUUGUAAUUUUUUAUGGCAGCAAUAGAAAAAUGCCACCUCCCACCAAACAGCUGAAAGAAGCUAAUUGUUACUUUCUGUAUUCUACAAGGAAAUGAUGUUAGUGAGAUCAACAAGUUCAUUAAGUACCUUUACUACCUUCCAAGGUACCACAGGCAACAGUUAAUUGGUCCGCCUCUGUCCUCUGGUCUCCAGCAGCAAUUUCCUCCCUGCUUUCUUUCCUAGCUUGCACCAACAGUCUCCUCUCUGCCCUUUUCAGCAUUCACCUGCUGCCUGGCCCUAAGGACUGCCAUGUGCUUUGGAUUUUGUUAGAACAAUACUAAUUUCUGUUACAUUCAUCUCUUGCUUUAUACUUUACCAGUUUGUCGGAUUAGUCUAUUAUUUUGUACUUCUGGUUUAUCUAUUGCUUUGGAAGAAUCAUCAUCCUAAAAUUUAGGGAUUAAAAUAAAGAUAUUAUUUUUCAGAAAGGUGCAUUCAGCUGGUGGUUCAGCUGCGGACUGAGCUCAGCUGAGAAAGCUGGGUGCCUGAACCUCUCUCUCUCCAAACUCGCUUUCAUCCGGGCUUCUUUCUUGUGUGGCAGUCUCAGAAUAGCGUUUCCCAGAGGGCAAAGGCAGAUGCUGCCAAAGCCUCAGGAGUCCCAAGUUCUGGAACAGGUACAAGGUUACUUCUAUCACUUUCUAUUGGUCGGAGCAAGUCAUAAGGCCAGCCCACAUUCAGAGCCCAGCUGAGGACAGAGUGAGGAGGCAGCCAUCUGCAAGCUGGAAAGAGAGUCCUCACCAGAAAUUGAGCCCUAUUGGACCUUGAUCUUGGACUUCCAUCUUUCAGAACUGUGAGAAAAUAAAAGUCUGCUGUUUAAA